AGACACAGGGUGUCCUUUGUGUUGAAGGACAGUGUCUUAAGGUGUGGGAGCGUUUUUGAGGUGUAUUCCUGGGUUUGGAGGCGAACCCCCCAAUGGUUACCGCCACAGAGACUUUGCGGAGGGCGCUCACUGGCUUAGGCGAAGAGCGAAGGCUCAAGACUGUGCUGUUUUUUAGUGGCCCCUUGGCGUCCAGAAGUUCCCCCCAGCGCCCACCGUAUGCACUCCCGCCGCCUGUGCCCCGCCCUACCUGUCAGGCGACCGCGGGCCUCAGCUCGGGAACGCCCGGAGUGGCCGCCUUCUCGCUUCUCCUGCCUCAGCCUCCCAAGUAGCUAGGAUCACAAGAGCGCACCGCCACGCCCUGCUAAGUUUUGUAGUUUUAGUAGAGAUGGGGUUUUGCCAUGUUGGCCAGGCUGGCCUCCAACUCCUGAUCUCAAGUGAUCCACCUGCCUCGGCCUCCCAAAGUGUUCGGAUUACAGGCAUGAGCCACCGCGCCCGGCUUCUUGUGUGUGUUCCUACUAAAUUGUAGUCAUGAAAGUUGAGCACAUACCCAGUAUGCUCACUAUUUCUCUCCAGGGCCUGAUACAGUGGCUGCUACAACAUUGAUACUCUGCAUUUGUUGAAUGAGUAAUUUAAAUUUUAAGUUAUCAUCUAGAAUCAUUUAGAGAUUUAUUUAGACUUUGAUAAAUUUAGAUAGCCCGCACACAAUUUAUUCCUAGAGUUCUUGAUACGUUGUUGCAGUAAGUUUGGUCCUUACAACAGCAAUAACACUGUAAUAACUUAAUUCUUCGUACCAGAUUGCUUCACUUUUUUUAUUAAGCAGAAAAUACCCAAAGUAAAAUUGAGCUAUUUGGGACUCCUUUCAGAAUACUAUGUAGGCCGAAGCACUGUUGUAUCAGAAGUGCUCUGUUACUUGAAUUCAUAAGAUAUUCAACAAAUAACUACUUACUAAACUAAAUGGUAUUCAGCAUACAGCUAUUCUCACCAUGCUAGGAGUUCACAUUUUUCAUAUGUGUGGCAGUUAGCACUGGUGCAUGUUUCCUUCAGCCUCAGAAAUGGAGGUGUCUGCGUGUUGCCCAGAUCUACCUUGAAACCUGUAGUUGCUUCCUAACACCUAAGUUGUAUAAUGGGACUUGAUUAUGUUUUAUAGAGCCAAGUCUGGUCCAUGAGGACCGAAAGGAUUUCCUCAUCAUAACUCUAAUUUGGCCUGCAAUGUCUGGGGAAAACCCAAAACUAAAAUCUGACUAAAUAUGGUACUGUUUUCUUCUGCAGUUUGAUUUCCUUGUACCAUUUUCAGUACAGUUAAGUUCAUCACCUCCCCCACCUCACCAUCCCCCUCCCCCUGCAAAAAAAAAAGAAAAAGAAAA
rnacentral:lncRNA from 1 species